UGGGGAAUAUUGCACAAUGGGCGAAAGCCUGAUGCAGCGACGCCGCGUGAGGGAUGACGGCCUUCGGGUUGUAAACCUCUUUCAGUAUGGACGAAGCGCAAGUGACGGUACCUGCAGAAGAAGCACCGGCUAACUACGUGCCAGCAGCCGCGGUAAUACGUAGGGUGCGAGCGUUGUCCGGAAUUACUGGGCGUAAAGAGCUCGUAGGCGGUUUGUCACGUCGUCUGUGAAAUCCUAGGGCUUAACCAUGGACGUGCAGGCGAUACGGGCUGACUUGAGUACUACAGGGGAGACUGGAAUUUCUGGUGUAGCGGUGGAAUGCACAGAUAUCAGGAAGAACAACGAUGGCGAAGGCAGGUCUCUGGGUAGUAACUGACGCUGAGGAGCGAAAGCAUGGGUAGCGAACAGG
rnacentral:rRNA from 1 species